rnacentral:lncRNA from 1 species
CUUACAGCACCACACACAAAGACCAAAAGCUUAAAAUGUAUGUGUGUAAGUACAUGCAAGCUUGAGGCACUGCAAGCAUGAUGCAUUAAAAAAAAUAGAAAUCGAGCUUACAAACAUGGGGCAUCGUUUCUGGGUGUUGUUGCAUGCCUGUGCAGUGACAUGCAUUCCCCAGGCACCAAGCACAUGCAGCAAAGGGCAAUAACAGCGCCUGCAAGAUUGGGGCAACGUUUCUGGGUGUUGUUGCAUGCCUGUGCAAUGAAAUGCAUUCCCCAGGCACCAAGCACAUGCAGCAAAGGGCAAUAACAGCGCCUGCAAGAUUGGGGCAUCGUUUCUGGGUGUUGUUGCAUGCCUGUGCAAUCAAAUGCAUUCCCCAGGCACCAAGCACAUGCAGCAAAAGGCAAUAACAGCGCCUGCAAGAUUGGGGCAACGUUUCUGGGUGUUGUUGCAUGCCUGUGCAGUGACAUGCAUUCCCCAGGCACCAAGCACAUGCAGCAAAAGGCAAUAACAGCGCCUGCAAGAUUGGGGCAACGUUUCUGGGUGUUGUUGCAUGCCUGUGCAAUCACAUGCAUUCCCCAGGCACCAAGCACAUGCAGCAAAAGGCAAUAACAGCGCCUGCAAGAUUGGGGCAACGUUUCUGGGUGUUGUUGCAUGCCUGUGCAAUGAAAUGCAUUCCCCAGGCACCAAGCACAUGCAGCAAAGGGCAAUAACAGCGCCUGCAAGAUUGGGGCAUCGUUUCUGGGUGUUGUUGCAUGCCUGUGCAGUGACAUGCAUUCUCCCUAGCAAACACUACAACUCAACAUCCCUACGAUGGCGCUUGUAAUGUGGCAAAACAGAUCGUCACCAGGGGUUCGCACGUGGUCCCCCACCGUACUACUGAUCUGGCCCAAUGUUGCUUAUGUGCCCAGUGCUGAUGGGAUGNGCAGUGUUCAACAUGGUAUGAACGAUCCAUGUCCAUACCGAAAUCUGGACUGUACCUACACCUGUAUUGCAGCCAUAUAUUAUACUUUACACAUAUACCAAAAACCCAACCCAAAACAUUGUCCCCAAUCACAAAGCAGCAGCUGAUAACAUCCAUUAGUCAGGCNNN